AAAAUCAUAUAAAUAUCUUCGGGAUUCAAAUUUUAAUAAUUAUUUGAACAGGUUUUCUAAAAUAUAUCAAAAC
rnacentral:sRNA from 1 species